AUGAUAGGAGGCAAUAAAGCGGGCCACCCGCACAGACCCCCUCUGCACUCGCACUGGAUGUCCCAACAACAGCCCUGCUGUGUCUAUUGCAGUCCUGGAAAAGGUUAUGGAGAGAAAAUGCCACCUUAUUGUGCAGGUUUGUCAAUGGGAAAAACCAGCAAUAGCAGGCAGGGAUCUUAUGAACCUCCUCCAGGAUUUAUGGAUACCUGGGAGUGGCUAGAAUCCAUGGGCUACCCUAAACCACCACCACUUAUGCUGGAAUUGAAUGGGCGCCUGGUUAGGACAUUUGAGGAAGUGUUUGGUUGGUUACAUGCUUGGAAAGGUUAUAAAAACUUCGAUAUGUUGCACGGUCAUGGAAAGAAUGCCUGGCAGAGGCUUGAUAAGAAGAUAGUUGCAACUAUAUCCAAUCGUGUUAUCUCACUUGUUUCGUUCAAUGGAGAGGGUACGAGUUUUUUUUCAUGCUCAGGCUUCCUUAUAAGGGGUCCGCCAAGAAAAGGGCGCACACGCAAUGUGAUUGUGACUUCGGCCAGUUUGGUUAGAACUUGUGAUGUUACAGACAAAUUUGAUGAGAAUAUGAGGAUUGAGGUGUUUCUCCCACCGAAUCAGCGCUUGAAUGGGACACUGGAAUCAUAUCAUUCCGGAUAUAAUAUUGCUAUUGUCACCGUUAAGGGUUUGCGUGAUAUUUGUCCAGAAGAUAUGAAAUUUGAUGAUCCCAUGAGUAACCAAGAGAAUCCUUUACCCAGAAGGGUGGUAGCUAUAGGGCGUGAGCCCAAAGGAGUGUUAUGUGCCUCAAUGGGUAUACUUUGUGAUGAAGACCUGCACUGGCCUAGCACAUUUGGUUGCCAGCAACUUAAGCUGUCCAAUUGUAAAAUCUCGAAGGUUGGUAUUGGAGGCCCCCUGAUAAACUUCUUUAAUGGGCGUCUUGUUGGCAUGAACUUUUGUGAUGGAAGGCCUGAUAGAACUCCCUACCUGCCUUGUAAGCAAAUUCGUGAAGUCUUACAUAGCACAUGGCGCUUAACUACCGACCGCUCUGUGCUCAGAUUGGACAAACCAGAUGUGAACAACAAAUGCAGAUGGCCAGUGCCCAAGCCAUAUUGGUAUCACGGUCUUCUCGAGAUGAAUAGGUUUGGUCCGAUGCCCAUGAUAGGAUGGGCUCGCCAGUAG
rnacentral:rRNA from 1 species